rnacentral:rRNA from 1 species
GGAGUGUUACGAUGUACUAGCUGUUGGGAGCACUUCAGUGGCUAAGCGAAGUGAUAAGUAUCCCACCUGGGGAGUACGGGCGCAAGCCUGAAACUCAAAGGAAUUGACGGGGGCCCGCACAAGCGGUGGAGCAUGUGGUUUAAUUCGAUGAUACGCGAGGAACCUUACCAAGGCUUAAAUGUAGAUUGACCGGUUUGGAAACAGACCUUUCGCAAGACAAUUUACAAGGUGCUGCAUGGUUGUCGUCAGCUCGUGCCGUGAGGUGUCAGGUUAAGUCCUAUAACGAGCGCAACCCCUGUUGUUAGUUGCCAGCGAGUAAUGUCGGGAACUCUAGCAAGACUGCCGGUGCAAACCGUGAGGAAGUGGGGGAUGACGUA